GAAGCCCCGCCCCGUGCCAGCGCUCCGCCCGCCGAGCUCCGCUCUUCGCCCUCCGGGACUGGCGCGUGGCACCGCACUCCACGUGUUUCCCCCUGCCCAAUGAAAGCGGGCGCCCGGGCGUGAAGGGGCGGGAGGAAGAAGACGACUUGGUGGCGUCGCGCGAAGGGGGCGGGGCCUGCAACGUCGGCCCGAACGAGGGGGACGCAACGGAGGCAGGUUGGAGCCGCUGCCGUCGCCAUGACCCGCGGUAACCAGCGAGAGCUCGCCCGCCAGAAGAACAUGAAGAAGCAGAGCGACUCGGUUAAGGGAAAGCGCCGAGAUGAUGGGCUUUCUGCUGCCGCCCGCAAGCAGAGGGUGGGAAUAUAGCAGCCAUAUGCUGAACUUUGUCCCAUCCACUUCCAUCUUAUCCUCUGUACCCUUCAUCCCCUGCAUCUUGUCCUUUUUGCCCUCUGGUACCUCCCAGUGCCCCAUCAUCUCUACCCCCAGGGACUCGGAGAUCAUGCAGCAGAAGCAGAAAAAGGCAAACGAGAAGAAGGAGGAACCCAAGUAGCCUUGUGGCUUCGUGUCCAACCCUCUUGCCCUCCGCCUGUGUGCCUGGAGCCAGUCCCACCAUGCUCGAGUUUCUUCCUGUAGUGCUCACAGGUCCCAGCACCGAUGGCAUUCCCUUUGCCCUGAGUCUGCAGCGGGUUCCUUUUGUGCUUCCUUCCCCUCAGGUAGCCUCUCUCCCUCUGGGCCACUCCUGGGGGUGAGGGGGUUACCCCUUCCCAGUGUUUUUUAUUCCUGUGGGGCACACCCCAAAGUAUUAAAAGUAGCUUUGUAAUUCCUUGAGCGCCUGGUUUGACUGGGGAUUGGGGGCAUGGGGAUGGAGGAGUGACUGCCCUUCCCCACUAAAAGGGGGGAGUUUUGUUAGGCACCUAAGAGAUUAUGGAUUUGUAGACUUCAUAAGGAAAACAUCACAGAAGAAGCCUUUAUUUUAACUAUUGCAACCGGAAAAGCACUCCAGUUAUAUGGCAGAGGAGUCCUCUAAGAACUAUAGAGACUUCUUUUCUGUGAUUUUUAUCCCCCACACCGACCUUGGACACCAUCCCCAGGAUGGUAUUGAGGGUCAUAAGAGGGAAGGAUCUAAGACCCAAAUUUAUGUCUCUUCAUUCUUUGUUUGCUUGAAAGUUGGCCAAAAAAAAAAAUCCUGCUGCUCACCAACUUCUGGUGGUCAGCCACUCUGGAUGCUCACAUUCUCUUCUGUUCUGUCAAUCCUCAUGGAAUGAAGGUGGUUUUUGUCUUCCAUUUCCUUUGACCUCAAGACCAGGAUUAAAACCUAUGGUAGCCUCUGCUCCCUUCUUCCCCUGCCCUGGUUUGUUCUGUGGUCUGGGCUUCUUCCACCACUGCUUAGGGCUGAGCUACUCAUUUCCUUUUGAUUGCUAAGAGCAGACCCAAAUCUUCAAUCUCUGUAGGUCUUUCCCUGACCUUAUCUCCAGCCCUGGAACCAGAAAGGGUCUUGUGCCACACUGCUAGGAUCAGGUAAGGCUCCUGGGUUUACUUCCUGGGAGUUAGACUCUUGAGCUUUAAUGAACUAGUGAGUUUGUCUGCUUCUUCAAAUUUAGAUACUUACUGAGCCUAUGCACCGAUAACUGCUCAUUUGUCCUUGAGGUAUUGAGUUCAGCUGGGUGUUCCUGGAGCUAAGAUUAAGAGCAUAAUCUAAAGGGUCUGUCUCCCAGUUUGUUACUACAGAUCAAGAGCCAGUUUUUAUGUGGCAGUACUGAUGCCAUGGCAGUGUUGCCUGAAUAUACUAGGGUGGUGGUGAUUCUGAGUGGGGAGCCAGCAGUGGUGCCAGGAGCAGCCCCAGAUAGAGGAGGACACAGGCCCAGCAUGAGGCAACUUUAACCCAGAAGGUAGCCCAGCUACCCUUAGUGAAGGUCUUCUCCAGUUCUGCUUCCUCAUAGCUGUGAAACCAAAGGCUGAUUAGAGAUGAUGCAGGGCCUUAGCUUUUGAACCUCCCUACUUCCUCAUAACCAGGGCAGAUCCUUGUGUGUCUCUCCCAAGAACUUUUGGAAUGGCCUUAAAGUGUUUCCUUAAAAUUGCUAGAUUUUCAGGAGAGUAUCUUAUGUCUGCUUUCUUCUUACCUGAACCAGUUGGUAAGGGUAACCAUGACAUAGAGUGAAGCAAGGAAGAAGGCGAAGUGGAAGCCAGAGUAGCUGUAGGAAAGAUGCUGGCUCUGCACCUGAGCAGCUGGAGGGGUCUCUUGGUCAGCUGACCUGGCCCUGCUCCUUUGCCCUAGAGAGAGAAGUGCCGAUGGGGAGCAAUGUUGCUGACACUCCCUUCCCCCAACUAUUGUGAAGGCUCUUGAGGGCUCUGGCCCUUCACAGGGUUCAGCUUGGCUAGAUUGCGCAUGUGACUCACCAUCCUCUGGCUCCACUGUUUGGGGGCAGCAGAAACAGACUGAGGGCUUCUGUAAAACAAGGCAACACGUUUUGAAAUGGCUUUAAGACAGUGUGAGGGUGCUAAUUUAGAAAAUCUCCCCUUUGAAAAGAUUGACCUGGUGUAAGAAGUGGAGGCACACCUGGGUUCAAAUUCUUGCUCCAGCAUAUAACUGGCUAUGCAAACUUUGGUGAGAUGUUUAAUCUUUUGUGCCUCAAUUCCUCCAUUUGUGAAAUGGAGAAAAUACCUACCUCACAGGGUUGUUGUGAGGAUGAAAUGAAAUGAGACUAUGUAUGUAAAGUAUCUAGCACAGUGCCUAGCACAUUGUGGGUACUCAAUAAAAGGAAACAGCAGCUAGAAUCUGAGCAUUCUGGGUAGAAGUUGGUAGGAUGUGUGUCUCUGUGUUUGGGGGAGGGUUGUUGGGGUUUUGAGCUCUUGAUGCUCACCUGGAACUCAUACUUGUAAACCUUGAUAAUCCACAAGGGUCCAAAUAACUCGGCCAGGUAGGAAGCCUCGUUGCUGUGAAAGAAAGAGGUUUUUAAACCUUGGGCCAAAUGUGAAAGAUUGGUAGCAUUUACUGUCAACAUCCUUCUGGAGGGUAUUGUGCACUCAGAGGCCCCUAAAGUCUGUGCAUUUUAAACAUUCUUUCCUGCCCCCGUCAUCUCAUGCAGAUCAUCUGACAAAGUGCUAUUCUUAGAAAUUGUCCCUGUUCGUGGGGAGCUUUUCUGGUUCUAGACUUGCUCUACAGUUUAAAUAAACCUCAGCACUGGA